AAUCUGUGAUUUAAAAAUAGUAUGACAGGCUGGGCUGCUGCUGUUAAUGGGGAGAGAAGGAGCUGUGUGACGAAGAGACAUUGCAUCAGCUUUGCCAUGAAAGUAUUUUCCUUGAUGCGUGGUGACCUAAGCAGCUGUAAGGCAGGUUCAGCUGACCUACAUCGCACCAACAGCUUCACCCCUGCUGAAGUUUAAGCUUUUACUGAAGGCAAUAAAAGCACCCUGCA